UAGCGAGUGGGGUGUGUUCCAUGAGAAUUGCGCUUGAUUGAAUCAGGUGGGGGUUGUUUGGCGCUACACCUUUAAAUCCAGCAAGCUGGCGUUUUUCUGAUUUUGUGCUGUCACAGACUGUUGCUUCCUUGGGCUCUUGGCUGAGUGUACGAGUUGACCCUCAUCUGGUGUUUGUGCGAUUACCCAGUGCCGUGGGUGCUGCUAGUGUCCUGUCUUUGCGAGCCCUCAUCGGCUGCGAUUUGUGUUGGCGUGCUUCAACGAGGACUUCCGGGUUUAGAGUGAUAACUACAAGUUUGCCGAGUGCGUUUGUUGUGCUGAGAACUUUGGUUUGGGAAUGUUCAAGUAAAAACCAGACGGAGUAAAGUGACUGCUACAGUAUUAUAAAUAACCAAGCUUUUGGCUUGAUGCUGUGGUCUGUUCAUACAGGAGGAGCGACAUAUGCUGUCCUGGCCACUGUUUUUCCUGUGCUCUUGUUUUUAGGAUUCAGCUCCGUGUGUGUGUGUGUGUGUGUGUGUGUGUGUGUGUGUGUACGUGUACGUGGGGAAGAACCGUCUAUUGAGUUGCCUAUGAGCCUCCCCCUGUAUGUGUUGAUGUAUGUUGUGUGUUAUGUAAUGUGUGUAUUUUAGGCCAUUGGGUUAGUGCAAUAUCCUGGGUAGGGGGGGAUAACAAUUUUGUUGUGUGGCCACUGGUUUGUCUAGUGUGAAUUAUUUUCUUUUUGGUUAUAUUUGUGCAUGUGAUUUUGUGACGUGCCUUAUCAAUUUUGAGUUUGCUGUAUUUUGUUUUUGAGUUAUUUGAACACUUUGAUUUUUAGAUUUUGUUGUCCCUGGCUCUGUUGCCCAGAGGCCUAAUGUCCUUGGAAUACUGUUUCAUGUUGUGAGUCCAUUGAGCUAAAGAAAAGGGGAAAUAAAUAAAUUUUCUAUUUUUAUAAUACUCCAGUCUCUCUCUCUCUCUCUCUUUGUAUUUCCCUUUAUUGGGAUAGCCUGCUGGUAAAUAUUUGAAAUUCUUACGGUCGCUUAGCCAUGAUUAUUUGGUUACAAUAGACCC